ACGCUCGACACCUACGGGAGGGCAGCAGUAGGGAAUCUUCCACAAUGGACGCAAGUCUGAUGGAGCAACGCCGCGUGAGUGAAGAAGGUCUUCGGAUCGUAAAACUCUGUUGUUAGAGAAGAACACGAGUGAGAGUAACUGUUCAUUCGAUGACGGUAUCUAACCAGCAAGUCACGGCUAACUACGUGCAGCAGCCGCGGUAAUCUGAGCGGGCUGGCAAGGC
rnacentral:rRNA from 1 species